rnacentral:rRNA from 1 species
UACGGGAGGCAGCAGUGGGGAAUAUUGGGCAAUGGGGGGAACCCUGACCCAGCAACGCCGCGUGAGGGAAGAAGGUUUUCGGAUCGUAAACCUCUGUCCUUGGUGAAGAGGAAGAGACGGUAGCCAAGGAGGAAGCCCCGGCUAACUACGUGCCAGCAGCCGCGGUA